AUUGAACGCUGGCGGCAGGCCUAACACAUGCAAGUCGAACGAGUGGCGGACGGGUGAGUAAUGUCUGGGAAACUGCCUGAUGGAGGGGGAUAACUACUGGAAACGGUAGCUAAUACCGCAUACCAUCGGAUGUGCCCAGAUGGGAUUAGCUAGUUGGUGGGGUAACGGCUCACCUAGGCGACGAUCCCUAGCUGGUCGGAGAGGAUGACCAGCCACACUGGAACUGAGACACGGUCCAGACUCCUAAGGGAGGCAGCAGUUGGGAAUAUUGCACAAUGGGCGCAAGCCUGAUGCAGCCAUGCCUCGUGUAUGGAGAAGGCCUGCGGGUUGUAAAGUGCUUUCAGCGGGGAUGCGUUACCCGCAGAAGAAGCACCGGCUAACUCCGUGCCAGCAGCCGCGGUAAUUC
rnacentral:rRNA from 1 species